rnacentral:rRNA from 1 species
CAAUAGCGUAUAUUAAAGUUGUUGCGGUUAAAAAGCUCGUAGUUGGAUUUCUGCCGAGGACGACCGGUCCGCCCUCUGGGUGAGUAUCUGGCUCGGCCUGGGCAUCUUCUUGGAGAACGUAGCUGCACUUGACUGUGUGGUGCGGUAUCCAGGACUUUUACUUUGAGGAAAUUAGAGUGUUUCAAGCAGGCUUACGCCUUGAAUACAUUAGCAUGGAAUAAUAAGAUAGGACCUCGGUUCUAUUUUGUUGGUUUCUAGAGCUGAGGUAAUGAUUAAUAGGGAUAGUUGGGGGCAUUCGUAUUUAACUGUCAGAGGUGAAAUUCUUGGAUUUGUCAAAGACGGACUACUGCGAAAGCAUUUGCCAAGGAUGUUUUCAUUGA